AUAUGCGCCCGCUGGCACCGCGUUGGGAACCACUGAGCUAGAGGCUUUAGAAGCAUGUGCUGUAACCUCAUGGCCUGGCAACGGCUUACCUCCUUAAUGCUUCUCCUGCUCUGUUUUACUUUUGUAAAGCCAGCUCGCUUAGGCUUUAUGUGGGUGAUGUGAAUUUAAUUCUUAGCAAAGAUUUUAUUUUUAAUCUAACUUCUGAAGCUAAAACACACAGACUAUCAGGUUUAUAGUAUGUGCCAAGUUCACCAUGUUUACUUAUUUAUGCUUAUUUAUAUUGCAAUAAUCAGCUUUCAUCUGGAUGGACACAUUUUGGUUUUAUCUGUGGAAUAUGAGCACAAACAGCACAAGAGAGAAAGGUUUCCACUUCAAUGUUAAGGAGGCCUGGGGACAAAGGCUUUUGGGAUAUAAAGGGCCAGGAAGACCUUCAUUUUGAUCCAACAAACGGACACCAGCUUUUGUCUAGGGAUGGGAAACCCUGCGGAAGGAUUGAAAGGACUGGAACCUGCAGGACUAUAGGACUGAGGGGAGGACUACUGUGAGGUGAGGAUUUACUGAAGUGGGAGCAGCAGGGGGAGCUGAUGCCAAGUUAAGAAGUUUCUGGGCCUGCCAGUAGGUGGAGCAGCAUGAUCUGAAGUCCCUAUGCACCUCCACAGGAAUAGCUAUCCACCACAAAGGAGAGAGAAGAAGGAAACCUGCCACCACCAGCAUCCUCUCUCCAAUGGAGGAAAGACAUCAGCAGGCAGAACCAGUAUGAUACGUAAUACAUAGAGGUUUUGCAUAGCAUUUUCAUUUUGAAAUGUUUUAAAAUCUAAAAUACAGGACAUUUCAUUGGAUAUUUCACAAAUUUCUGAGGAUGGACCUUCCCCGAAUCAUUAUAUCUAUUUGUUUUUCUGUCACUAUAGACUAUCUAUUCUGGUCAUGCCUAAUUGAUCGCUUUUAUAGGAAAUGAUGUGGUCAGGGAUGCGACCCUACCCAAGUAGGCACUUGUGCGUGCACACACAUACACACUACCAUUGUACAUAAAUCUGCAUGGGGACAUGAACUCCUUCAGAUACUUUUCUUCUCUUGUCCUUUAUUGAUACUUCCUGUUGCUGUAAGAUGACGGUGCACUGCGGCUGCAAGACACCACUUCAAGAGCCAUGAUGACAGCCACCAAAAUUGGUAAACACGCCACAUGUUGUAGUUCAAAUCCUAGACUCCAGCCACCUGAAGUGGCUGGGUUGUAUGCUAGGAAUUCUGUAGGUGCUUGGAUGGGGAGGGUCCUCCCAGUGAGCUGCAGUGGAGUAGCCCCUGUUUCUGGUGCACUCUGGCUCCAUGCAUGAGAAUUAGAAAUUGAAUUUUAAUUGGGAUAUCUUCUCAUUACUACUACCAAGCACAUAUUAUGCUCUGUCACAAAGACGUACUUCCAAACAAAACAAUCCCCGCUUUGGUCUCUGAAAUAAAAGGAUAGAUAGUUGUGUGCUGCAAACCUCAGCUCUGUACCCCUUUCUGCGGACACACAUUUCAAGAAGGUUGUUAUGAAUAGUCUCUGUUUCUUUUUUCCCGCUGCAUGUGCGUAUUUCAGAAGCUCAUUAGGAACAGGCUCUAUUGUUAAAGUUCUUUUUCUGGGCUGACUAAUUUAGAUUUUAUACUGAUUUUAAUUUGGGUAAUUUGGAUGAUACAAUGCAGAUGCUUCUGUAAUAAUGCCUUCUUCAUAUCUAUCUUACCUACAAGCAAAUCUGAGAUGUUCAAUUUAUCAGUAAAUCUCAAUGGCAGAUUUGACAAUACUCUUAAUUUUUGACUGAUGGAUUGUCAUUUCUCUCUGACUUUCUUCUUCUUUUAAUUCUAUCAUUUUCUCAAAUUAAAGGUGCAUGAAAGGUGUCAUCCCUUCAAAGUAGUCUUUAUUUGCCAUCAUAUAAAGCUAAUGCAGGCUUUCGCUUUCAAGUUGCCAUCAUUUACAUGGUCUUUCUGGGGAUUUCCUGACCUUAUUUCAGAAUAAAGCAUUUGAUUUUUCAAAAGCCUGUCUUGCACAGCCAGACCACCUUGGUGUUUUAAAAACAUAUUGCAGCUAUUGAAUUUUCAUACCUCAGAGGAUGAAAGAGAAAUUGUUGUGCUCCUGUCAGUCGAGUAAAUCAUGUGUCCUUGAAUUCUUGCUGGGGGAGAGUCAGCUGCAGAAUGGGGACGUGCCAGAUCACAACAUGCUCCUUCCUUUUCCCAAAACGUCUCUCUGAGGAACCUGCUCUAGAAGUAGGGACGGACACCCUUGCAGAAUCUGCAGUAGUUUGUUUUCCCCUUCUCUACGGUUUCUUUAUGUGGCCAAUAGCGGUUAGUAGUCUUUUGAAAGAAGGUUGCUAAAAGAGAAUCUACUAUUUCCCUGUCUUAUAUAAGUGUGACACAUCACUGUAGUAUCUGAGUACCUUGCAAUCUUUAAUACAUUUAUCCUCAUAAUACCCCUGAGAGGUAGAGCAGUACUAUUGUCCCCUUUUACAGAUGGGAGACUGAGGCCCAGAUCCUCAAAGGCAUUUAGGCACCUAAUCAAUGGGAGUUAGGUGCCUAAUUACCUUUGAGGAUCUGGACUAGAGAGACUAAAUGACUUGCUUAAGGUCAUAGAGAAUGUCUGUGGUGGACCUGGGCAUUUUACCUGGGUGUCCCAAGUCCCAGGCUAGCACCCUAACCACUGGUCAGCCUUCCUCUAAUUCUACUUGUUCCUCCUAGGAACAAGCUACAUAUAACAAGGCUCAUAUGCUGUCCAUGCAGUGUUUUU